CGGGCCUCGGGGCGGCUGCUGCUGGGGGGCCGGAGCGGCGCUUCUGUGCUGGGCACCGCUGGGCGGGAACAAAAAAUCGCAAAAGCCCGAUGUGAAAGAGCGAGGGAGAAGCCCAGGGCUCCGCGGAAAUCCCCGCUCGUCUUGGGAAGCAGGUAGGAUUACUACUUAUUUUCGCCUUGAGAUGUUUCCUGCACAACUACCAUCCUUUCAUAAACUGUCCUGCAGGCUCUUCCAGGAGAUUUGGAGACAAGUGCUGAAACUGCUCCACCACUCUCGAACUCUGGUAUUUCUGACUGUGUUCUUCUGCUGACUGAGGGUGGUGCUGAAGACUUUAAUAGUGAACUCUUGCUUUUUAAAGAACAGUCAGUCCCAAAUUACCUGGUAUCUUCUCUUCAAUAUAUCCCGUUCUAUAGGACAUCUGAAGUCUUCAUCAGCCCUCACUCCCUUAUCGCAUCGAACAUCAGCACAGAAACAGAAGAAAGCUUUGAUGAUAGCCAAGUUAACGCUAAACAAGAUGAGAACUUGAACAAUUCAGCUCUCUCCACAGGAUAUUUUCCAUAUUACAGAUCGUAUGAAGAGCCACUUGGCAAGCCACUUGCAUAUAACUUAAAUGUGAAUGCAGAGGGAAAACAGCCUGGCACCAACAGGAAAGACAGAAGGCAAGGCAGAUGUGCCCAGGCUGUUAGAAAUGUUGAGAAAACCGUUCCACCAAGUUUGGAGCCAGACAAGAGGGUAGUUUCCUCCAAUGCUGAGCCAUCUGCCCACCCACUGCUACUGGAGAGCAUCUCAGAAAACUGCGCUUCAAAGACCGCCUUUCUCAAUGAACUGCCAAGCCUAGGUCAGCCCUUUUCUUCCACUGGGUACUUUCCCUAUUACAGGACAUGUGGAGACCUCCACACCAGUCCAGCUCCUUGUGAUAGGUUCUUCACCAGGAUAGAAAUUUUGGGGGAUGAAGAGGGAGGAGGAGAGGGAGAAACAAGUGUUUGGAAUUUCAAUACCAGCUGCUCAGCAUGCUGA
rnacentral:lncRNA from 1 species